GCACCUCCCGAACGGCCCGUUCCACACCCACGGCCUUCUCCCCGUCACGAUGCCUCCACGAUCCCUGGAUCCCCGCCGACCAAGCCACCGCGCCCCCCACCCCGCCGGCCCUGCGCCUCACCUUCCGGCCAGCCCCGCGCCAACGACCCCGCGCCUCCCCUCCCCGCCGGUCCCGCUUGCCUCCUGGAUCGUGUCGCCACCGGACACCCACGCCGCCGUCCUCUGCCCCAACCACUUCUGCCACUUACAUCUGCCCCGACCACUUCAGCCGCCGUCGUCCUCCCGCCGACCACCUCCACUACCGCUCUCCGCCCCGACCACCUCUGUCGCCGCCCUCAACCCCACCCACCUCCGUCCCCGCCCUGCGUCCCAGCCACCUCCGCCGCGCCUGCCCCAACCACCUCCUCCAUGGCCGCCCUCCGUCCCGACCACCCCCGCCACCAACCUCCCUGCGGCGCGACCUUCCCUCUGCUCCAUCGCGACCUUCCCUCUGCUCUAGCGCGGCUUGCCCUCUUCUCCGGCGCGUCCUCCACAACCUUCCUUCUCUCUCCACUGCGACGGCAACACAGGGAGCCAUAGCUCGUCACCGCCCGAUUUGUUUUGGUUGUUGCUAUUUUGUUUAAUUUCUUUCGGCUUCUUGCAAGAUCUGUGUGUUGGGGCAAUGAACUUUGCAAAAAUUGUAGUUCACGUCAUGCUUUUGCUUGAACCCGUGCACCACUACUUCCGAAAUCAGCUCUACUCGUUCAAGCUACAGAGCAUUUUCUUCAGGGGAAUGGAGAGCACCCUCACCCUGACCCGAUCUGCAGCGCCGCCCCGAGUCCUCCCAACGCAGCCCCAAGCCGUUCAACUACGCAGCCCCGGGCUGUUCAACGACGGAGCCGCCGGCCGUUCAUGAACGCAACACAACCCUGGAUCCUGCUGCUCAACGUCCAGUUCAACUUCUGCUGAAUCCGCUUCAGCUAGCCUGUGUAUGUGGCUACCAAGGUGGCAUGCAUUUAGUGCUACUUUGUUUUCGUAUCCACAUGUCGCCAACGGCACUACGAAGAGGAAGGGCCUUGUGAAGUUCAGUUUGUUUCACUUUCUAAAGUUCGGUUUCUUGAUUUUCCGAAGUUCAGUUUGUUGAUUUUCUGAAGAAAAAGGUUGCUUCACUUGCACUCCUCUAUCUGGUCCUGUGUGGUGAUCUCCUCGACUCCUAGGUUAGGCACAAACUGAGAAUUGUAGGCAUCUUUUGAGUUUAAAAUGCUUGAAUCUACAGUACAGGAUUAGAUAACUUCCAGAAGGUCUAUAGUUCAUACCCCGCUGUCAUAGCAGCGAGCAGUCGUAGGUCGUCUGGCGUGCUCUUGGCUUGUUCUGUUGAGAAAAGUUCAGAAAACUAACUGAACUCUUGGCACGGUCUGGCGGUGUUUGGCUGCAUCGGCCACCAGACUGCCAACCUCCACCACCUGACGGCAAGGAGCCAAGGUGGUGAGCUGUUGACGCUGGCACAACACCCCGACGCAAGCGAGUCAAUUGUAGCCAACGCAAGGAGAGAUUAGUAUAGUGGUUUGUAGUGUUCAAAUCCAUACAUGGCGUUUUCUGGUGGAAUUGGUUAACAUGAAGGAGCUACAGGUUAAUACUACAAGCGCUUCACUUAAAUAGUCCUAGUUGUCCACCAACUUUUAGUCAUUCGCUUUUGCAAGAAGUGCUCAUCUUUUUCCUAUUGCAUGACUAGCUUUCAAUGGUGAUGGCUCUGAUUUUUUUGGGAGAUGUAUGAGAACAAAGGUGCAUGUGUGGUAGAAAAAAGAUUUCUUUGUACAUAUAUACUAUGGUCAUUUUGUUCUUUGGA